UGUUCAACGUUUACAAGUGUAUACAAAAAACAAUACGUUUUAUAUUAUUAAAAAUUAUGGAAACAAUGACAAAUUUCAAAGAUUGUUAUAGUGCCGAGAUGGUAUUUUAGAGAAAUUUUGUUAUUUUUCAUAACAAAUGGGAGACAUUUUAAAUAUAAACAAUAAUAAAACACCGGUUUGAACUGACAGAGUGACAGGAAAGUAACUAUUUUUUGGCAAAAAUAGAAGUAGAAGAGUCGAUGAAAUAUUAUUCGCAAUUCUAAAUAUUUAAUUAUAAGGGUGCAUCUCAAUAAUUGAAGAAAGUGUUAAUGAAUGCCUUUGCGAUAUGGACAUGAGAAAUAGUGGAAAAUAAAAUUUAUUGGACAGCUCUGCCAAUAUAUUAAUAGCAUGUUAUUAUUUGUAUACGUGAUUUUGGCUCGUUAUUGAGAGAGGGAAUAUAACACUUUUGCUCGCAUAUUACAAUCAGAAUUGUGUCGAUAUAUUAUACACGAGAGAGAGAGCACAUCUACUUCUUUGGCCCAAAGUGUACAUCACACAAUCGUCGUAUUUGUGAAACAACUUAGGGUACAAUAAAGAUGCGAGUGCAUUGCAUCCAGGUGAUUAUAAUUCAACGUGCAUCGAAGAGUGCGGUGCGAAAAAUGCCUUUGAAGCGAUUUUUUUGGAAAAUAAACUGCAUGUUUUACGAUAAAAGACCCUGUAAUGCAAAAUAAUGAGAUAUCCACCCACCUGAGGAAAAUUACACGAAGCGGCCUUCUCAUUCUGCCCCGAGGGCCUUUGAGGUCUCUUCAUAUAUCUCGUUGACGAACGCGCAAAGGGUAGUCUGUAUUUACUAUAUAUUUAUCGACCUUAAAUAGCCUCAUUAAGCUCUUUAUCAAAUCUUCCAAAAAUAUAUUAAACAAAUUUCAAAAGGAGAACAAAAAAAUCAUCUCCAAAAAAAACAAUAUUCUUGUCAGUGAAUUUCGGAGGAAAA